rnacentral:rRNA from 1 species
AGUAGUUUGAUCCUGGCUCGAGAUGACGCUGGCGGCGUGCCUAACACAUGCAAGUCGAACGAAGCUCCGGACCGGAACUCUUCGGAGGGAAGUGAAGGAAGACUGAGUGGCGGACGGGUGAGUAACGCGUGGGCAACCAACCCUGUGCAGGGGGACAACGGCUGGAAACGGCCGCUAAUACCGCAUAAGCGCACGAGUGCCGCAUGGCACGGUGCGAAAAACUCCGGUGGCACAGGACGGACCCGCGUCCGAUUAGCUGGUUGGUGGGGCAACGGCCCACCAAGGCGACGAUCGGUAGCCGGCCUGAGAGGGCGACCGGCCACAUUGGGACUGAGACACGGCCCAAACUCC